UGAGGAAUAUUGGUCAAUGGGUGCAAGCCUGAACCAGCCAUCCCGCGUGAAGGACGACUGCCCUAUGGGUUGUAAACUUCUUUUGUAUAGGGAUAAACCUACCCUCGUGAGGGUAGCUGAAGGUACUAUACGAAUAAGCACCGGCUAACUCCGUGCCAGCAGCCGCGGUAAUACGGAGGGUGCAAGCGUUAUCCGGAUUUAUUGGGUUUAAAGGGUCCGUAGGCGGACUUAUAAGUCAGUGGUGAAAGCCUGUCGCUUAACGAUAGAACUGCCAUUGAUACUGUAAGUCUUGAGUAUAUUUGAGGUAGCUGGAAUAAGUAGUGUAGCGGUGAAAUGCAUAGAUAUUACUUAGAACACCAAUUGCGAAGGCAGGUUACCGAGAUAUAACUGACGCUGAGGGACGAAAGCGUGGGGGGCGAACA
rnacentral:rRNA from 1 species